AGAAAUACCUGCAUCUGUCAGCCUCAGCAGAGCUCUGGGGAGUCUGCACCAUGGCUUCUACCCUACUCCUCCUCCUCACCCUCCUCCUCCACUGCACAGGGUCUCUCUCCCAGCUUGUGCUGACUCAAUCGCCCUCUGCCUCUGCCUCCCUGGGAGCCUCGGUCAAGCUCACCUGCACUCUGAGCAGUGGGCACAGCAGCUACGCCAUUGCAUGGCAUCAGCAGCAGCCAGAGAAGGGCCCUCGGUACUUGAUGAAGCUUAACAGUGAUGGCAGCCACAGCAAGGGGGACGGGAUCCCUGAUCGCUUCUCAGGCUCCAGCUCUGGGGCUGAGCGCUACCUCACCAUCUCCAGCCUCCAGUCUGAGGAUGAGGCUGACUAUUACUGUCAGACCUGGGACACUGGCAUUCACACAGUGACACAGGCAGAUGAGGAAGCCCCCAGGGAGCCACAGAACAGCAUCAACCAGGACCAUCCUCUUCAUGUGUCAGCUUUUCAGGGAGGGAUCGAAGUCAUGGCCCAGGAAAGGGCUUGGACAGCCCAGGGGAGGAGGCUGGUUGGUAUGAAGGAUGCCCUCCUCACCCUGAGCUGCUGGAGGGAGUACAAGGGACUUGGAGAGCCCAGGCUCAGUUGA